ensembl:lncRNA
GGUUAGGGUUAGGGUUAGGGAAAUGUCUGGGGUUAUUGUUAGGGCUGAGGCUAGGGUUAGGGUUAGGGUUAGGGAAAUGGCUGGGGUUAGGGUUAGGGCUGAGGCUAGGGUUAGGGUUAGGGUUAGGGAAAUGGCUGGGGUUAGGGUUAGGGUUAGGGCUAGGGUUAGGGUUAGGGUUAGGGAAAUGGCUGGGGUUAGGGUUAGGGCUGAGGCUAGGGUUAGGGUUAGGGUUAGGGAAAUGGCUGGGGUUAGGGUUAGGGCUGAGGCUAGGGUUAGGGUUAGGGAAAUGGCUGGGGUUAGGGUUAGGGCUGAGGCUAGGGUUAAACCGAGGUGUGAACAUGAAGCUAGGGUUAGGGUUAGGGAAAUGGCUGGGGUUAGGGUUAAACCGAGGUGUGAACAUGAGGCUAGGUUUAGGGAAAUGGCUGGGGUUAGGGUUAAACCGAG